ACGAAAUCCAUCACCGAGGACAAGGGAACACCGAUUGAGCUGCUGAUACUGGCACAGGAGUCGAUCUAAAGCUUCACACCGGCUGCAGUUCAUGAGAUAAGUGUCCAAAUUUCCAAAAUCCUUUCCUCCUAUCAUUCCUACAACCUAUCGCAUUCCAUAAUAACGUCCAUUAUCCAAUUCUAUUUAUAGACUAAAGCUUGUUGCAUGCAAUCGUACCUAUUCACAAAUAAUUAAAUCCUCAAUUUUAUUCGUAAUUGCCAAAUUAUACAAGAUUUUAGUUUGCAUAAAACCGUUAUAUUUUUCUACCUUCAAAUCAAAUAUAAAAAUAAAAUUUGCAUAUUUUCACACUUUCAAUUUCAAAUCAUUUUCAAUUCAUUCAAUACAAUAAUUUACUUGGUAAUUAAGUUACUUUUGCACAAUUCAUACGUAAUUUAACGCCAAGUUGGUGGCCCAUCUAUUCAAUUUACUUGCACUUCACCGUGCCAAUUAUUUCGUGUCGGCUAAAACUAUUUGCCGAAUAUUCCAGCUGUUCCGGCUCUGGCCUACACUCAGCCUUACGCUGCAUCACCAACGAGACACUUCAUGAUCGGCAGACCGAUGACAUCGUUGCCAGCGCCAGAUCUACACAACUCUAAAGAAACUAGUCUUCGGCGAUACGAACGUCUUGAGAAGCUGCGACAGCACUUUUGGAAUAGAUGGCAGAAGGAAUAUAUUGGAGAACUACAACAGAGGACCAAAUGGAAGGACAAUAUCACAAAACUCAAAAUUGGAGACAUGGUACUGAUACACGAGGAACACGUACCACCUCUGAACUGGAGACUAGGCAGAGUCGCCAGACUAUUUCCUGGUACUGAUGGGAUCUCCCGGGUAGCAGAUGUCAACACCGUGCGAGGAUGCGUAAGAAGACCGCUCACUCGUCUAUGUCCACUACCAACCGAAGAUUCUUCAUGUUGAAAGUUCCUUUCAACGAGGCGGGAAGAUGUUGCGGCUCAAUCCGUCUAUCAAGCGUCUCUAAUACUUAAUUGCAUAACUUAUAAUUAAAUAAUCAAUUAACUUCCUUUCCUAACUAAAUCGUAAUUUCUAAUACAUGUAAUUGUUUGCUAUUGCUUUGUCGCAGGCGUUCUUAAACUUCAUACUAAGUAUUUUGUACUGUCAAAAUCACUUACCUUCCAGUCGCCGCGCGAUACGCACUAUUGUAAUACAUUUUCAAAUAAUACGAAAUAUUCAUCAAA